ACUCCUACGGGAGGCAGCAGUGAGGAAUAUUGGACAAUGGGCGCAAGCCUGAUCCAGCCAUGCCGCGUGCAGGAAGACUGCCCUAUGGGUUGUAAAACUGCUUUUUAUACGGGAAGAAAACCACUCCCUCGUGAGGGGAGCUUGACGGUACCGUAAGAAUAAGGAUCGGCUAACUCCGUGCCAGCAGCCGCGGUAAUACGGAGGAUCCAAGCGUUAUCCGGAAUCAUUGGGUUUAAAACGGGUCCGUAGGUGGAUAAUUAAGUCAGAGGUGAAAUUCCUGCAGCUCAAACUGUAGAAUUGCCUUUGGAUACUGGUUGUCUUGAGUUAUUAUGAAGUGGUUAGAAUAUGUAGUGUAGCGGUGAAAUGCAUAGAUAUUACAUAGAAUACCAAUUGCGAAGGCAGAUCACUAAUAAUAUACUGACACUGAUGGACGAAAUGCGUGGGUAGCGAACAGGAUUAGAUACCCUGGUAGGCUCUGCU
rnacentral:rRNA from 1 species